ACACAUAUACACAUAUACACACACACAGACACACACUAUAAUGCACCAUCAUCCUUUAAUGCAUUAUAGAGUAUAUACACACACACACUAUAAUUAAUUAAAAGAAGAUGAUGCCAACAAAAAACUAGCAUGAUCCUUUGCUGGUGAUUUUGAUAUCUGAAUGCACAGACUAUAUAUGUUUACCUCACUGAAGGUGCCUUGUCAUCCAUACAUUUGUAUAUGGCAAGCUUAGUAUAAUAGUAUAAGUCUUACAGGCAUAUUUAUGCUGGUCAAGUGCCACAACUAGCGUACAGCCUUACAUGUUUGUUAGUCCACCCAUUGUAAAGCUCUACGGAAUUUGUUGGCGCUAUAUAAUAAUAAUAAUAAUAUGUAAUCCAUUUUACUGUCCUGUUCUUUUAAACUAAAUGUAUGAAUUAUCAACCUGCUUCUGGAUUGAGAUGACAUAAUAUAGCCUAAUGUAUGCUACAAUCAAAUGGUUGUAAGACUACAUGAUACAGCUCAAACACUAUCCUUUGGAUUCACUCCAUUUAUUAUUACUCUAAUCAGAGUUAAUUAUGUUACGCCAGUGCCAAGAAGUUUAGUUACUAAACAAGGAUGAAAUUCCAGGCAGGUUAUAAUAUAUAGAACACACUAUCCAAUUUAAAAAAAACAAAAAACUCCAACUCUUUGGCCAAUGCUUGUGACCUAAGUGGCAUUUUGUUGCUCUUCACCAUCUGAGACAUAAUGCUUGGCAGUACUUCUCAAAAUAUCAGAAGCUGCUUUCACACAUGUUUGAUGUGAGAAGUUAAUGGUCAGCCUAGGUUGAUAUUAAGGGUACGAGGGUAAAGAAUUUAAUAACAGUGUUGUAGAGUCUGGAAAUGUGUUCAUGAGUGCUUCUUGGGUAAAAGAAGGGUUAAAUGAAAAAUAAUGCUUUAAUCACUGUAAUGCUGCUCCAUUGGAAGAUAAUCUUUGUUUAAUUUUAUCAUACUCUACUUCUAUAGACUAUGUCUACCUCUCAGCACUGACACGUAAUACACAAUUUAAUCAUUAACAAACUGGUCAGAUAUAAUACAUGAUUCAUUGCAAAUCCUAGGGUUUAUGUCUUUGCACUGUGCCAUAUGGUAUGGUUCUAUAUAGGAAUUGAUCUUCUUAGUGCAUGCAAGUGAAACAGAUCACUCUGAUGAUCCACUAAGACUUUCAAAUGCAAUACCAAAAUACUAAUUUUAAGUUCUAUCAUUUAUAGUCCCAUAAUUUUUGCAAAUGUGCAUGUCAAAAAAGUAAGAACCAGACUGGAUUCAGAGCGCCAAGACUGUAAAGUCUAAAUGUCAAUGGUGCAUUUUCCUAACAAACCGGCACAAAAAGAACAAUGUUUAUCUUGUAAAGAAUCACAGGUCUCUCGUUUUCAAAAAUGUGGUUUAAUCACCGUUGCAAUAGCCUAGAAUUUCAACGAUGCUCCUACAGGCAUAUAUUGGUUUGCCUGUAGCCAGUUACCAAAUAACGUCAAUAACUUUUUAUUAUAAUGAGCCGUGGUUUACAGAUCACAAAUAUAAAGGGAUACCCAGUGAGCCUAUUGUCAUAAUGGAUUUUAGAUGAUGUACAUGAAGCAAUUCUUAAGUGUGUAUGCUAUUCUCCAUGACCUAAACAAGGAGAACCUUUGCUGCUAUUGCUGUCUGGAACAGUCUUUGCAAUACUAUUUCAUAGACUACGAUUUGGGUUUUGUUUAUAUAAAUAUAAUAAUGACCAAUAGCUUUUAAAGAAAAGGGAAACGAGGAUGUCUUAUAGGCAUCAUUUCACAAUCACUACUAGUGGUUUGCUGUGUUGAUACAUAUAUGUACAUAUGUGGUAAUUCCACGCAGAAGCCUGUGCCAUGUGUACAUAUAGAUGUUCGUGUAAUAAAAAUAUAUAUAUUUAAAAAAAUUAAAAAAAAGAACAGUAUGAUGGCAGAUUGUAAACUGCUUCAUAAACAUGACUGUGUACAUACCUCUAGACGUGUUUUAUUAAAAAAUUACUUCCAAACAGUUUACUGGAUUCACAAUGCACUUUUAGCUUGUGUGUUUAGAAAUAA
rnacentral:lncRNA from 1 species